AUGACAAGGCUGCGGGGCGCGAUCCACAAGAUUGAGGCCGACGCGACGGCCAAGGUCGUCCUUGUUGCGAGCUCCGUACCGGGAGUCUUCUGCGCAGGCGCCGAUCUCAAGGAAAGGAGGCACAUGAGCUCUUCACAGGUUAAAGAAUAUGCUAAUUCCUUAAGGUCUACAUUCUCGUACUUUGAGGCACUCUCCAUUCCAACAAUUGCUGUCAUUGAAGGAGCUGCUUUGGGUGGUGGGCUGGAACUUGCUCUGUCAUGUGAUCUGCGUAUAUGUGGAGAAAAUGCAACCCUUGGACUGCCAGAGACAGGACUUGCUAUCAUUCCUGGAGCCGGGGGCACACAGCGUCUUCCAAGGAUCAUCGGAAGGUCCAGAGCGAAGGAGCUGAUAUUCACAGGCCGCAGAUGCGACGCAACUGAAGCUGUCUUGAUGGGACUGGCAAACUACCGCGUUCCAGCAGGGGAGGCCUACGGCAAGGCUCUUGAACUCGCCCGUGAGAUGACGAAGAAAUCUCCCACUCUCGCCCGACUCUCCACUAUGCGCAGCCUCGGGGGCCUCCGCGCCGUCUCCGGCCACCUCGCGGCGGCGAGCGGCGCCUCCUCGUCUCCCCACUGCGUCCUCUUCGCCCGUGCCCUCCAGAUCCUCGCCCAGCCGGAGCCCGUUCGCCUCCACAAGCUCUCGGCGCCCGACUCCGGGAUCGUGGAGCUGAGGCUUGAGCGGCCGGAGGCCAGGAACGCCAUCGGGAAGGAGAUGCUCAAGGGGCUGCGGAGCGCCAUGGACAAGGUGGGGGCCGACCCGACGGCCAACGUUGUACUGGUAGCGAGCUCCGUGCCCAAGGUCUUCUGCGCGGGCGCUGACCUCAAGGAAAGGAGGUUAAUGGGCCCUUCUGAAGUCCGGGAAUUUGUUAAUACCUUGAGAGCUACAUUCUCAUCCUUUGAGGCACUCCCCAUUCCUACAAUAGCUGUUGUUGAAGGAGCUGCUUUUGGCGGUGGACUAGAGUUGGCUCUUUCAUGUGAUCUUCGUAUAUGUGGGGAGAGUGCAACAUUCAGCUUGCCAGAAACCGGCCUUGCUAUUAUUCCUGGAGCUGGAGGGACACAGCGUCUUCCAAGGAUUGUUGGAAGGGCCAGAGCAAAGGAAUUGAUAUUCACUGGCCGUAGAUUUGAUGCGACAGAAGCUGUAAAUAUGGGAGUAGUGAACUACUGUGUUCCUGGUGGUGAGGCUUAUCAAAAGGCUCUUGAACUUGCCCGGGAGAUAAAUCAGAAAGGUCCGUUAGCGAUAAGGAUGGCGAAGAAGGCCAUCAAUGAAGGGAUGGAGGUAGACCUGUCCUCUGCGUUGGCUGUCGAAGAAGGGUGCUACGAGCAAGUUCUGCACACUCAGGAUCGCCUCGAAGGUCUAGCUGCAUUUGCCGAGAAAAGAAAACCUUUGUACACAGGAAAGUGA
rnacentral:rRNA from 1 species